UGGAGGGACAUCAGACAGAGCUACAACCAGUGAGGGACAAAAGUGAGGCAGCUGCUGAAGAGGCUGAAUUGGUUUGAUCCAGAGAGGCAGUUAUGCAUAAGAGCAACCACUCUCUAUUGAAUUAGGAGAUCUCUCAUGCAACACAUCUCACCAAUUACAAGAAUCCUUGAAGAAGAGAGAACUCAUGCUGAGCUGCUUGUUUCGCAUCCCAAAAAGGACUCAGGAGGACUGUUCAUCUAUUUAGUGACAGAAUUUUCCAUGCUCAAUAAAUUCU
rnacentral:lncRNA from 1 species